rnacentral:rRNA from 1 species
AGAGUUUGAUCCUGGCUCAGGACGAGCGCUGGCGGCGUGCUUAACACAUGCAAGUCGAGCGGGCAUUUUCGGAUGUCAGCGGCAGACGGGUGAGUAACACGUGGGAACGUACCCUUCGGUUCGGAAUAACGCUGGGAAACUAGCGCUAAUACCGGAUACGCCCUUUUGGGGAAAGGUUUACUGCCGAAGGAUCGGCCCGCGUCUGAUUAGCUAGUUGGUGGGGUAACGGCCUACCAAGGCGACGAUCAGUAGCUGGUCUGAGAGGAUGAUCAGCCACACUGGGACUGAGACACGGCCCAGACUCCUACGGGAGGCAGCAGUGGGGAAUAUUGGACAAUGGGCGCAAGCCUGAUCCAGCCAUGCCGCGUGAGUGAUGAAGGCCUUAGGGUUGUAAAGCUCUUUUGUCCGGGACGAUAAUGACGGUACCGGAAGAAUAAGCCCCGGCUAACUUCGUGCCAGCAGCCGCGGUAAUACGAAGGGGGCUAGCGUUGCUCGGAAUCACUGGGCGUAAAGGGCGCGUAGGCGGCCAUUCAAGUCGGGGGUGAAAGCCUGUGGCUCAACCACAGAAUUGCCUUCGAUACUGUUUGGCUUGAGUAUGGUAGAGGUUGGUGGAACUGCGAGUGUAGAGGUGAAAUUCGUAGAUAUUCGCAAGAACACCGGUGGCGAAGGCGGCCAACUGGACCAUUACUGACGCUGAGGCGCGAAAGCGUGGGGAGCAAACAGGAUUAGAUACCCUAGUAGUCC